GCAUCAUUGGUGUAGUGGUUAGCAUGGAGUCUUCCCAAGGCUUCGACAUGGGUUCGAAUCCCGUAUGAUGCA
rnacentral:tRNA from 1 species